GUGUCAGCAGCCGCGGUAAUACAUAGGUGGCAAGCGUUAUCCGGAUUUAUUGGGCGUAUAGGGUGCGUAGGCGGUUGAUUAAGUUUGAGGUUAAAGCCCGGAGCUCAACUCCGGUUCGCCUUGAAAACUGAUUAACUAGAAUACAGGAGAGGUAGAUGGAAUUCCAUGUGUAGCGGUGAAAUGCGUAGAUAUAUGGAGGAACACCAGUGGCGUAGGCAGUCUACUGGCCUGUAAUUGACGCUGAGGCACGAAAGCGUGGGGAGCAAAUAGGAUUAGAUACCCUAGUAGUCCACGCCGUAAACGUUGAGUACUAAGUGUCGGCAAUUGUCGGUGCUGCAGCUAACGCAUUAAGUACUCCGCCUGAGUAGUAUGCUCGCAAGAGUGAAACUCAAAUAAAUUGACGG
rnacentral:rRNA from 1 species